ACUUGCCCACCUUAGGCCUUCAUUCGCAGCAGGCAUGUGUGCCUGGGUUUGUUACCAGCAGCCAUUUUCUCACCCUUAAAUGAGGGAUGGGUCUCCCCUUUUCUUUUUCUCAUUUUCCUAGAGGUUACAAGAUUCCUGUUUUUCUCACCAGGAGGAGAGGUCAGCCUCAGUGAGCUCAUAGCAGUCAUACAUUGCCAGUGUUUUUCCUCAAGUGGAAGGAGAAAGGCCUUCAGAAAAAAAAUCGUAUGCAAACCUAGUGCUACCACCAGCAGUAGCUCUGAAUCGAGAUUUUUGGGAGAAUUAGGCUUACUAAAGAUAAACUACAAUAAGUCUCAAGGAAGCAAAUAAUUCUGAUUCUAAUGAGGAAUCCAAGAAUAAAGGCAGCUCUUAAGGUACGGAAGUGAACUGUCUGUGGGUGACUUGCCUGGAUGCCGGCUAUAGCUGCAGCCCCCAAAGUCGAAGCUACCAGAACAGGUUGGAUGAGGAUGGCCCAAAGAUUAUGGAGUUGCUGGCCCCAAAGCAAGUCAGACACUAUGGGAAGUUUGCAUGAAUCA
rnacentral:lncRNA from 1 species